rnacentral:rRNA from 1 species
UACGUAGGGGGCAAGCGUUGUCCGGAAUCAUUGGGCGUAAAGCGCGUGUAGGCGGCCAGAAAAGUCCGCUGUGAAAACUCGAGGCUCAACUUCGAGCUGUCGGUGGAAACUUUCUGGCUAGAGUCCGGAAGAGGAGAAUGGAAUUCCUGGUGUAGCGGUGAAAUGCGCAGAUAUCAGGAAGAACACCCGUGGCGAAGGCGGUUCUCUGGGACGGUACUGACGCUGAGACGCGAAAAGCGUGGGGGAGCGAACAGG